UACGGGGGGGGCAAGCGUUGUUCGGAAUUACUGGGCGUAAAGGGCGCGUAGGCGGUUCGAUAAGUCAGCUGUGAAAACCAUGGGCUUAACUCAUGGCCUGCAGUUGAGACUGUCGGGCUGGAGUGUGGGAGAGGAGAGUGGAACUGCGAGUGUAGAGGUGAAAUUCGUAGAUAUUAGCUAGAACACCAGUGGCGAAGGCGGCCAACUGGUCCGGUACUGACGCUGAGGUGCGAAAGCGUGGGGAGCAAACAGG
rnacentral:rRNA from 1 species